UACUUCUUUAAUGUGUUUGAAAGCUUCCAUAAUAAAAUGUCUAAAAUCAAAACCGAAAUUUAUAGACUUAGAAAUGAUUGUUGAUGAGAUGUGUCUAUCUAAACUUGUCAGAUGUCACCAGAAUUCUGUUCGGUGAGAAAUUCAUCCCCUUUAAUGCAUUAAGGAAAUUUCGUUUGUGGGGCCAGUCUUCAUCAUCUUCACCUUAUCUACGCCUGUCAGAUAAAUAAAUGUGUUAAGGGAAUGAGUAAGUAUUUAUGUCAAGAAACCAGAAACAGAAAAAAAUAAAACCUACACAAGAGAAGUAGAGCACAACUAAAAAUAGAAAUUAAGGAUUAGACAGUAGUGGAUUUUAACCAAUGUUAAUAAUGACUAGGUUCUGGAGGAUCUAAUUAAGAAAAAGAAAAUGAAAGAUAAUACAUUUAGAAUAUUGACAAAGGUGGCAUAGCUACAGAUUAUCAAGAAAAAUUUGUUUUAAUUAUAAGGUAAUACUGUAUAUCUGUGCUAUAUGUAUUCUAGUACAUAAAUACAAAAGGGUUACUUAUUUUUUGCUGUAGGGUUCUGUUAUGACAGUUGACUCAAAUAGACCAAGAAGCAAAUGUGUGUAUAUGAACACCCUGUUUAAGAAAAAACUCUGGUAGUUGUAUAGGUAAAAGCUUUAAAGAAUAGAUAAUCUUUCACAAAAUUCUACCAAUUAAUUCCGCACAGUUAAUCCUGAUACAAACCUAGAUGAAGAUCGCUCCUAAAAAGCAAAAUCUAGAUCAACUUCCUUUAUGAAGAUUCUACCCAUCUUAAUUCUAAAUAAGAAUGUGAACCACUUUGGUAGAUGCUUCCAUUACCACAAUGAAUGUCUUCAAGGACAUCAUUUCAGACAUUAUGGUGAGUGAUUGUGUCGGGAGGAGGUAAGGAAGGACACUUUUCUUUGCAGCUCACAUCAUAUUCUGAAAAGCUUCCUGCUUGAAUUGAGGGUUAGUGCUUUUCUGUAGAAUGUAGAAGAUUAUAGCUUGGUCCUUGAUAUGUGUAUAUUAGACAUGAUUAAAUAGUCUGUUAAAUAGUGAUUAGGACAUAAACCAUUUUCAGUUGUAAUAAAAAUGCUAUAUUGAAUAUCA